rnacentral:rRNA from 1 species
AGAGUUUGAUCCUGGCUCAGGACGAACGCUGGCGGCGUGCUUAAUGCAUGCAAGUCGAACGAAGACCCCACUAUGGGUAACCACUGUGGGAUUCUUAGUGGCGAACGGGUGAGUAACACGUGAGAAACCUGCCCCGAAGACUGGAAUAACCCGAGGAAACUCGGGCUAAUACCGGAUGUCCCCAGAUGGCCGCAUGGCCGACUGAGGAAAUGCUCCGGCGCUUUGGGAGGGUCUCGCGGCCUAUCAGCUUGUUGGUGAGGUAACGGCUCACCAAGGCUUCGACGGGUAGCUGGUCUGAGAGGACGAUCAGCCACACUGGGACUGAGAUACGGCCCAGACUCCUACGGGAGGCAGCAGUAGGGAAUCUUGCGCAAUGGGCGAAAGCCUGACGCAGCCACGCCGCGUGAGUGAUGAAGGCCUUCGGGUCGUAAAGCUCUUUCAGCAGGGACGAAAAUGACGGUACCUGCAGAAGAAGCCCCGGCCAACUACGUGCCAGCAGCCGCGGUAACACGUAGGGGGCAAGCGUUGUCCGGAUUUAUUGGGCGUAAAGGGCUCGUAGGCUGUUCAGUAAGUCAGGUGUGAAAACUCGAGGCUCAACCUCGAGAUGCCACUUGAUACUGCUGUGACUAGAGUUCGGUAGAGGAGUGUGGAAUUCCUAGUGUAGCGGUGAAAUGCGCAGAUAUUAGGAGGAACACCAACAGCGAAGGCAGCACUCUGGGCCGAUACUGACGCUGAGGAGCGAAAGCGUGGGGAGCGAACAGGAUUAGAUACCCUGGUAGUCCACGCCGUAAACGGUGGGCACUAGAUGUGGGAUCCAGUCAACGGAUUCCGCGUCGUAGCUAACGCAUUAAGUGCCCCGCCUGGGGAGUACGGCCGCAAGGCUAAAACUCAAAGGAAUUGACGGGGGCCCGCACAAGCGGCGGAGCAUGUUGCUUAAUUCGAGGCAACGCGAAGAACCUUACCUGGGUUUGACAUGUAG